GACGGAGGAUGCAAGCGUUAUCCGGAAUUAUUGGGCGUAAAGCGUCCGCAGGUGGCCUAUCAAGUCUGCUGUCAAAGACCGGGGCUUAACUUCGGAAAGGCAGUGGAAACUGAACAGCUAGAGUAUGGUAGGGGCAGAGGGAAUUCCUGGUGUAGCGGUGAAAUGCGUAGAGAUCAGGAAGAACAUCGGUGGCGAAGGCGCUCUGCUGGACCAUAACUGACACUCAGGGACGAAAGCUAGGGGAGCGAAUGGG
rnacentral:rRNA from 1 species